CGCGGGCUCGUAGCGCCGGGGCCGGCCGCGAGUUUUGUCUCUGCGGGCGAACUGGAGGGAGGCCGCGGGCCGUGCGGGUGCAUUCUCGUUCCCCGGUGUGAGAGUCGUUCACUCGUUCGGGAUUGUGCGUCUCAAAAUCGACCCCAGCAUCGCCACCGCUGGGCACCUGCGGUAGAGGCCGUGUGCGCUGGGCCGCGAGGAGCAGGCCGCCGCGGCGGGGAGCGGCCGCCCCGGCCCCCGUGGCCCCGAGCCCCGGGGCUUCCGUGCUCCUCCUUACGGGUAGUGGUAGUCGAACGGGGGCCAGGCCCUUGGCUGUAAGCCGGUUAGCAGCAAAGAAGCUGGAGAGAGAGGAUGACCCAGUUUUCAAGCCUCUCCCAGGUGAGAGAGGCCUAACGUUUAAUGCGACAAUAGUAUCGGUAUUGAAGAGGAGGCCGAUGAUGUUUAGAGGACAAAUCUGCCUCGGUGCGGAUUCCGAUCGACCCAGCCCCCUGCUAGCCUCCUUUGUGUUCUGUGCUCCCAGGCUUUCUGUGACUUCGUCACCAGGAUUAAGAUGUUGAGAAGAGGCUGCUAUCACUGGACCCGAGGGUCUUAAAGUUGAACACAAAUACUGCUGAAAGGCCAAAGGGACAAAGUGCUCCGUGGCAUCACGGUACCUUGUGAGUAAAGUCUGCUGUUCAGUACCUGGUUGACAGUUUGUAGGUAUCACCCUGCUGCUAACUCAAAGUUCAUUCACUAUUGACUUCUCUGAACACUUGAUGGGAGCAAGAUCCCACUACCUACUGGGAGCAGCAAGACAAAAGGCUGUGGCAGGACAACAAAGCUUUGGGCAUGCAGUCCUGUCAGAUGCUGCUCUUACCCAACAUGCAUUCCUCUCUUAGGCAACCCCAUAUGCCCACCUGAAAAAGAAGAGUCUACCACAGCUAUGGCAGACUGUGAAGCCUGCCAAAGUGAAUGCCUCCCAAUGAGGAAGCCACUCUCAGAUUCCGACUAAAAAUUAAAGUGGCUGUAAGGAAGGAAAAGGGAAGACUGUUUUUCCUCAUGAACCCUUCCCCUGUCAAGAUAAUCCUGGUAGAAGCAAGGCAAACUAAAUUAAAUACUUUGAUAUCUUGGGACAGGAAAGGUGGAAGGAAUAACACUGUUAUUCGUAGUGGUUUUUUUCUAGUUAGAGACAUUUAACUCCUGUAGCAGUAUUUUUUCUUAAAUCCUUUUAGUUUAGAAAUCUAAAGGAAUAUUAUUGUUUUAGAAAUAGUUGUGCUUUAUAAUAACUAUCAAUCACGCAUACCUGAGGAUUUUUUUAAUGUAUCUUUUUAAUCAAGUUUUUAAUAUCUUCCUUACAUAUGCUUGGGGAAUACUGUUUAAAGCAAUCCUCCCAGUACAGUGUCCGAUUCUGAAAAAGCUACUUUUUAAAGCCACUGUGAAGUAAGAUUAGCAACUGCCGACAUGUAACAUUCCCCUUCCUCUUGUAUUACCCAGUUAGUUUCAGUGGGGUGAGGUCAGCACUAGUGUGGGUAUACUGACUAAUCUCUAACCCCAGUGCAACUUCACUGGUUUCCAUAGAGACAUUCCCGUGUUUCGCCCAGCCCUGCCGGGAGGUAUUGGAGAGUCUGAACAAACACGCACAUCCUCAGACAUUGGAACUGUUACUCAGUACCACCUGCGAGUCUAUAUGCUCCUGCAUUUGUCAGCUUGGGUGAGUCCUGAAAGUGUGAUUUUCUCAAGAUUUGUUCUUAUUUUCCGCAUUCUAUUUUGCGCGCUCUGCUCUUGCAGCUUUUACCAAAACAGAUUUUUACAAACCAUGUGGAAGUAACUAACAGUAGUGUCAAGUGACAAUUACAAUGUACCUGGUAGUGCUUGCAUACUAACCCCCUACUGUAGUUUUAAAUUCUGGAAGUGGUUACAUUCUUCUUUUUUAAGUAAGAUACAAAAUGUGGGUUUUCUCAAGUUCUCAAAAUAACCUUGUGGUCUGACUUGUAAUACCUGUAAUAUUGUAUCAAGUUUUCUCACAAUUCUAGAGUAUUCCUUUUCAUGACAUAAAAACCACUGUUGCCACAAUAUGCUGUGCAUUUAACAACAAAGAAAACAGACCAAAGAGAUAUUUUUUUGGACCACUUGCUGGGGGAAGGCCUUUCUUUAUACAGUGCUACCACAAGGUGUGACCCUCUUGCUGAAACUCUCAGUAUUAUCCAGUAUAGAAGUUAAAUGUAAGUACUGUGUAGUAAGAGGGGUUGGAACGUUCAUUUAAAAAAUUCAACUUUUGAGUAAAGCCCCAACACUCCCUACUAAUGAAAUAACAAGCUAACAGUUCUGAAACUUCCUGUGCUUAAUAAAGCCGUGAUGGACAAAUGAUAGUGACUUGACAUUUGAAUAUUUUAUGAGAGAUCCAAGACAAGCAUUAGAAUAGGUAAAUGCUCAUUAUUUGUCUACUCAGACUUAGAACUGAAUUUUCAAUUCAAGUUUGUAGACUUUCCCCUCUUAUGCCUUUGUUUUAGGCUGUUGUAACAAACAGGUGUAGCAAAAAGUUAUUACUUAUCAUACACAAAAAAUAAUUCUCAAUUAAAAGCAAGUAGCUGGACCAGAAAUUUGAGAUCAGGCAUUAAACAUAUGGCCAAGAUAAGUAUUUAAAUGGAAUCAGUGCCUUUUUUUUUUUUUUUUUUUUUUAAUACAUACAUUUUACAAUUUAUAGACCCAGGGCUAUAGACUCAGUUACCCAGUAAGUAAAUUCUAAUAUUCUUUCUAAAAUAUAUCCAAAUGGAUAGGGUUUCUAUUUAAAUAUCUCUUUAGUCAGAAGUCUACUUUAGGUAUUUAAUCCUUCUCAUCAAAACCCAGGAUGUAUAGAGAAAUUAAAUAGAACGUUUACUUUAAAAGAAAACACAAAGACAAAAAUGUUUUAAUUCUAAAUUCUAGUUUCAGUUGCUAACCCCACCAGACUUGCAGAUCUUGAGGUUGUCAGGGAAGAGGCUAAAAGCUCAAGAUGAGUAAGGUCUGAUUUGACAACCACUGGAAAUAGUGAAAAGAAACCUCAUAAUUCAAUAUCCUAUUAUUUGUUCCCAAGGCAAUUCAGAAAAAGAGGAAAAAGCAGAUUAAACAAAUAAACCCGCUGCUGAACAAGAAAAGUGAGACAAUAUAAUGAAUGGAAUUCAACCUAUGCAUUUUCUAAUCCUCUUCUCUUGUUGUUACCUUAUGGCAAAGUACUUUGCUCAGGCCAAAGAUUAUGUAUUUCUUGUAAAAGAGACCAUACAAACAAAGACACAGAAUGGAUCUGGAAAAACAAUAGCAACAAGUUUUAUAGCAUCCCGUAUUUCAGCUAAAGUCAAUCAAACCAAGGUGCAAAAUGCAGCUACCAGCUGGAAUACAAAAGGAUCAGAAUGGAUAGAAGCAUGUCACAUCUGGCACGUUGCAUGUAACACCAUUCACUACACUAAGAAGUCUUCAGAUAUCACAAGGCUCAAGCUGGCUCAGAGUGGUCACUCUGCCACCUCCAUUUUUAUCAUUUAAAAGAGUUGUGAGUCAAACAACAUCAGAAACGCUGAAACCAAGCAAUCAAGUUUUCACAACCAUAUCAGUAAACAUCCUUGAAGCUCUGACUCCAAAUCAUACAACCCAGGCUUCAGGCAGGUGUCACUACACAUGACAGCAGCAUUUCCUUGAAUUGCUGGGGCCAGACCUGUUUGUCUUAGUUGAAGCCACAGUACAGAUGAAGAGCUGUACCAAGAAAUUGAUGACGAUAUAAAUGUUUGAAGGACUAGGACAUACCGUUCUGUGAAUGGGGUGGGUGAAGAGGUGAGAGCAGGAAAGUGACAGGAUCUGCCUUAGAAAAAAAGUAAAAAUAUUUAAAGUACUAGAGAAAAAUACAAGUGCACACAUGGUAAAUAAGGAUGACAGGAAAAAAGAAAGCAGAUGUGGUAGGCCAGAGUAUUGCUUACCCUCCUUGAAGAAGUAUUUGACAGAAAAGGAACUGGAGAACUGUUAGCAAUAUUAUGAAGCAAAGUAGUAAUAUAUACCAACAUUUCCAAAUGCUUGCUUUAAGUUAAGGUAACCUGAUAUUGACAGACUUCCUGUUGGAAGCUGCAGGUCCUCAGCUGCACCACUGAAAGAAGUAAUAAAUCAGUAUCUGUCUGCACAGUCAUUAUCAAUUAUAUUCUUGCUUGGAAGAGAUAUUAUACCUCCGACACUGAAGGCCACAUCUUCCUUAGAAUUGAUUAGUAAAGACCCAGAGUGAAAAGAAAUGUGACAAAUAUAUCAUGUAUAUGUAUUUCACUGGAAAUAACAUUGAAAAAAGGAAAUAUUCUGUUUGAUAACUUGUUAGCUACAUUUAUUGGCACAGGUUAAUAUAAAUUUUAAAACCUUGUGAAAAAGGCAUUUGGAAGUAAGCUUACCUUGCUGACUUUUAAAUAAAGCAUGUUUAUAUUAAUAUA